GGUUCAAUGGUCUAGUGGUUAUGAUUUCUGUCUUACACACAGAAGGUCUCCAGUUCGAACCUGGGUUGAACCA
rnacentral:tRNA from 1 species